ensembl:lncRNA
GCAUAUGUUCUGCCCUCUCAUAAUCUGCUGAAAGACUUGGUUAGAAAAAGGAGUUUGAGAAUGUUGGUGGCUGAAGGGAAGAGAGGGACAAAUAAGAAGGACACAUGGUACUGCCUGCCGAAGCCUCAGAACAAAGAUCACGAGAGAAUGGUGAGCUGUAAGUGCAGGCGAAUAUAUGGAAAGCAAUUCCUUGGACUAAUAUGGAGCCCAUACAGGUCGCUUCUUGGAAGAAGUUGCCCAAAAGUUUUCUUUUGCCUCCUAGUUCCUUGAGGAUUAUAUUUUCCAGAAUACUGAGCUUGAAAAUUCGUUACAAGAAGGAUCAGAGAUGCAAACCAUGCCUUUGGUUUGAAGAAGCAUACAGACAAAAAUAAAAGAAAACAACACAGAAGUAACUUGUUUCUUCUUGCAAGGCAUUUUGAGAUCUGAAGGAUCAAACUCUCACCCAGAAACAUACACUUGAGCAUACAGAAGUUGUUUCAGACAGAAAAUAUACAUUGAUGUCAUCUCAGAAACUGGAAGGAAAGGAACCAGAGACUGCAAGAAUAAGCUGUGUUAGAGGCUCUUACAAAGAGGUCCAAUGGAAGGAAUAUUUGUUGGGAUGUGGUUCUGAAAUGGCUGUAUGAAAUCGCAGGGUUUCUGGAUGAUAUUUCAUGAAAUGGGUGAACUAAUCUAACAGCUUGCUUCUGACAAGUGGGCUUCCCCAGAAAGAAAGGGGCUGAAGGGGCCAGAGGAGGGCUCAGCUUUCUCAGCUGAGACUGAUGGUCAACCAUGGAUCAUCUCUUUUACUCCUGUGGCUACAUGGCAUUUCAUUGCUGUGAACAUCUGGACAGAACCUGCUGCAAAUCUUUUUCGAUUGCAACUCCAAUGAUUUGGGCAAAUGAGAAAAGGAAAACUGAAAAUAGAGGGGCUAGGAAGGCAGAAGUUUGCACUGACAAAGAAGAUCUAGCACUGCAGUUUACAUUUCUGUACUCUGCUACCAAGUAUUGUUUGCUUCUUAAUGGUUUUCUUUGUUGCAUACAGAUCUGACUGCUCUGCUCUGAAGUCUACCCUUCUGUGUACAUCUGAGAUGGUUCAGAGCUUGUUUAAUCAUUUGCAGCUCCCUGCUUGUUUGUAAGGAGAUGGGAAGCCAUAGUGAUGUCAAAAGGAUUUACUGAAAUACACAGACAGAGCAAACAAUCGACCCAAACCAAGAUAAUGUGACUGCAUGACCCCCAAACAAGCAAGAGUAGAGAUUAACAUUUAAAUUCAUACUUAAUUCUGUAACAACUAUAAAUAUCAUCUCAUCAAUUGCUAUCCCAAACUUUCAUUAGAGACAAAAUAAUCCAAAGGAUUAAGAGCUUCUAUCACAUUCCUCCACAUUCCCAAAUCCAUCAGCCAGCAUAGGAAGAAAUUCCAAUAUACAGCAAGUACAUACAGAGAUAAUCAGAGCUCAGUACAUGAAUAGAAGUAGCUUGGAUUUCCCAUGGCCUUAAGCAAAGAUAUUUCUCAAAGUAACCAUAAUAAGUAGCUGCAACACAUGCUUACAGUCUCCUCAAUACAACAGAUAGCAUGUUUUCAGACUCUCUGUGUUGAAAAUAAUAAUAAUUUUAAAAAAAAUCA